CAGCCGCCACGGUAAUACGUAGGUGGCAAGCGUUGUCCGGAAUUAUUGGGCGUAAAGCGCGCGCAGGCGGAUAGGUCAGUCUGUCUUAAAAGUUCGGGGCUUAACCCCGUGAUGAGAUGGAAACUGCCAAUCUAGAGUAUCGGAGAGGAAAGUGGAAUUCCUAGUGUAGCGGUGAAAUGCGUAGAUAUUAGGAAGAGCACCAGUGGCGAAGGCGACUUUCUGGACGAAAACUGACGCUGAGGCGCGAAAGCCAGGGGAGCGAACGGGAUUAGAUACCCGAGUAGUCCCUGUCUCUUAUACA
rnacentral:rRNA from 1 species